AGGCUGAGGGCAGUACUGUAAAUGAGUAGCUGCGAGAAGGCGGCUGACAUAAAUUAAUAUUGAAAUUAUUCCAUCAGCUCGGCUCGCCCCCCAUCUCACCCCCCCAAGUGGAGAUUGGUCGUCUUGUCGGAUUGCCCAGGCACUUGUUGCCGAAACAGCCAAGGCUCCAGCUCCAGAGGUCAGUGAAGGAGGAAGACACGGGAGCAAGACUACCCUGAAGGGCUCACCAGCGGUCUCAACCCUGAAACAGACCCGGGUCUCUUCUUCCCACCUGCCGAGCAGCAUGUGAGCAGCAUGACUGGCCAGCUGCAGGAGAAGCCCCCAGAGCCAGGACCGCGACACAGCCACCCGCUGCCAAGGUCAAGGUGAGCUUGCUUACUUGCUUGCUUCGAGGAAGCCGUUUCUAGAAGGCACUUCAUUUAAACAAACUGUAUGUGCUAUUUGGGGUCUUCGUGGUGUGCUGGAAGAGCAGGAGGUAUUGUGGAAAGGAUGCACUUUAAAAAAUUCAUGCCCAGUCAGGCCCACACCUUUAAUCCCAACUCAUGGGAGGCAGGAAGAUCUUUAUGAGUUCAAAGCUAGCCUGGUCUACAUAGUAAGUUCCAGGCUGGCCAAGGUUACACACAGUAAAAGCCUGGCUGAAAAGCAUGCUAACCAACAAAUACACUCAUGUUGGGACUGGAGAGAUGCGUCGUUGGUAGCGCACAUGUUGGAAUACCUAGAACCUGAGUUAAAGGCCAGGUACAAUGGUAUGCUCCCAGCGUCCCAGCAAUGGAAGGUUAGGGCUUAGAGACAGGCAGAUCCCUGGAGUUUAUUCAGGAGCUAGUUUGGCAUAAUGGGGGGAAGUUCCAGCCCAAUGAGAGACAAAAGGUAGAAGACAUCUGACAAAUGACACCCAAGGUUGUCUCUGACCAUUUACACGCCACGCGUGCACACCCAGCUGAUCUCAUGCACACACACACAGACACACACACACAUAGGAAGUGUGUUAGCCUAAUAAGGCAAGCCUUCCUCAUUCUGGUGUUUAAACGGCCAGGGCAGGGCAGAAAAGGACUUGGGCAUUCUGGACCCAGGUCUGUGCUGGGGUCUCUUGGGGGAUUUUGAAUGAAUGAAUCUCUUACACGGUGACAGCCAUUCAGAGUAUCAGAUAAGCCUACAAAGAGCUCGAGUUAGGUUUUGAGCACCUCCCAGCGGCUGCCAGCCGUCUGUAACUCCAGUUCCAGAAAGCUCUGAACCCUCCUUUGGCCUCCCUAGCACUGCAGACACAUGACGCGCAUACAUCCAUGCGUGCAAGCACACAUACACCCCACAGAAAAAUAAACAAACCUUUACAAAGAAUCUCUGGGAUAGAAUGGAAUUGCUAAGAUUAGUCUGUGGUCUGGGACUCCCAGCUAAUGCUAGACAGACCCGUAUCCCUCACAGAGGUCAAGAGGAACCUCAGAUCAGAAAUGGCAUGGGAGAGAACAUUAGUUACUUUCCUGUUGUGACAAAACGUUUGACAGAAGUGAAUUCCAGAGGGAGGAUCUCUUUGGUUUUACAAGUGGUGAAGGACCUGGCCCAUCACGGUGGCAGAGACUGGGCAUACUGUGUCUGAAGUCAGGAAGCAGAGAGGGUUCAGCCCAGGUGUUCAUCUCAAGGUCCUCUGCAGAUCCGUCCUGCAACCCCAGCCCAUGGGACCAUGUCACCCAUGUUCAGAAUGGGUCAUCAUUCCUUAGUUACAGCUUCCUACAUAAUCUCAGAGACCCAGAAGUCUGUUUCCAUAGUAAUUCUAAGUCCUGUCAAGUUGACAGUGAGGAUUGGCAGUCGCAGACACUUGGUGGAAAAUCCUUCUUAACACUGGGUCUGAUUCUGCUUCUUUGUGAUUCUGUUAAUCCCUCGCUAGUCUUCCAGACUCCCCUCAGUCUUUGCAUUUGGAGAAUUACCUCAUGUUGCUACCUUUUGGGGGAGGGGGGUUGCAUAAAUCAUUCCCAGACACUGGCGUCACUCACUCAGCUUGUCCCUUUGUCCUCUCUAUAUUGGAAAGGGCUUCAUUAAUUUCAGGGUCUGAUCUGUCCCUUAGCUUCAUCAACUUGUAUCAUUCUUGAGUCUUUCAUUCCUCUCUCUGUUCAAGAUAAGCCCGGCUGAGGCCCAUAUGGUGAUACAAUGUAGCCUUUGGUUUCAGCACCUGGGAGAGGAGGCAGGCAGUGUCCAGGCCAAUCGCAGAUAAAUAGUUGGAACCUGCUCAAAAGAAUGAGGAAGAGAAGGGAGAAAAGAGAGGGGUAGGGAGAAGACAGACAGACAUAGUGUCCUAGUUAGGGUUUUACUACUGUGAAGAGACACCAUGACCAAGGCAACUCUUAUAAAUGACAACAUUUAAUUGGGGCUGGCUUACAGGUUCAGAGUCUCAGUCCAUUAUUCUCAAGACAGGAACAUAGCAACAACCAGGCAGGCAUCGUGCAGGAGGAGCUGAGAGUUCUACAUCUUCAUCUGAAGGCUGCUAGCAGAGCACUGCCUUCCAGGCAACUAGGAUGAAGGUCUUAAAGCCCAUACCCACAGGGACACAUCUACUCCAGCAGAGCCACACCUUCUAAAAGUGUCACUCCCUGAGCAGAGCAUGUACAAACCAUCACACCUGGGUUAGCCAUGGCCUCUGUUCUUAAACAUGUAGACUGAUUAACAACUCUCAGAGUUUGCCAUGUGUAUUGAACUAUUCUUAUGGAAUCCCUUGUGUUUUAUCUAAUUGAUUUUUCUUAAAUAUUCUAUAAGCCCAUGAGAUAGUAUGCCUUCUUUAAUUAUUGCAUUUAGUUUUAUCUACUUGAUAAUACAAUAAGGUUGACUUUAGGGUUGGAUUUUGUUGGCUUGUUUGUGUUUGAGACAGGGUCUCUCUGUGUAACUUAGAACUCACCAUAUAGACCAGACUGGCCUUGAACUCUCAGAUAUACUUUGGCCUCUGCCUCCUGAAUGCUGGGACUAAGGGCGUGCAUUGCCACACAAGGCUGUACUACUCAGGUCAUCUGGACUUUAUCUUUUCUGGUUCUGGAUGGUGAAUUUGUUCGUUAUUGGGAAAGAUGUGAGCUGGAACCCGGCUCAGUGGAGUUCUCUGGUCUGACAAGCAUGAAGCGCCAGGGUCAAUCCCCGGCACUUGUACAAACUCCUGAAAAGAGAGAGGAAAAUGUGUUAAAAUCUCUCAUUAGGUUCCUCAAUCGCUCCUCACAAUGCCGACAUUUUUACUUUAUUUUAAAGCACCACUCUCUUUGGUCAGUGUCUAUCUUGCUGGGUAGAUUAGUACAAUUCUGUCAUCCAAACACUGGGAAGCUGAAGCAGGAGGAUUCUGAGUUCAAGGCCUGCUGAGAUACUGAUUUGAGAUUCUGACUCUUAAAAGCCAUUAGG
rnacentral:lncRNA from 1 species